rnacentral:rRNA from 1 species
CAGCAGCCACGGUAAUACAGAGGGUGCGAGCGUUAAUCGGAUUUACUGGGCGUAAAGCGUGCGUAGGUGGUGGUUUAAGUCCGUUGUGAAAGCCCUGGGCUCAACCUGGGAAUUGCAGUGGAUACUGGGUCACUAGAGUGUGGUAGAGGAUAGUGGAAUUUCCGGUGUAGCAGUGAAAUGCGUAGAGAUCGGAAGGAACAUCUGUGGCGAAGGCGACUAUCUGGGCCAACACUGACACUGAGGCACGAAAGCGUGGGGAGCAAACAGGAUUAGAGACCCGUGUAGUCCCUGUCUCUUAUAC